rnacentral:rRNA from 2 species
UACGUAGGGCGCGAGCGUUGUCCGGAAUUAUUGGGCGUAAAGAGCUCGUAGGCGGCCUGUCGCGUCAAUUGUGAAAGCCCGGGGCUCAACCCCGGGUCUGCAGUCGAUACGGGCAGGCUAGAGUUCGGUAGGGGAGAUCGGAAUUCCUGGUGUAGCGGUGAAAUGCGCAGAUAUCAGGAGGAACACCGGUGGCGAAGGCGGAUCUCUGGGCCGACACUGACGCUGAGGAGCGAAAGCGUGGGGAGCGAACAGG